AUGUGCAUACCAAAGAAAAAUGGUGGGAUGGGUUUUAGAUAUAUUCAUUGCUUUAAUCUUGCCCUAUCGGCCAAACAAGUAUGGCGUUUAAUUGAUAAUCCAGAUUCCCUUUGCGAUGUGAUUUUGAAGUCUAAAUACUUUCCGGAUGGUGAUCUCUUGAGUGCUACUCUAGAAAAGAAAGCAUUUUAUACCUAGCAGAGUAUUAUGGCAGGAGUAGAGACCCUGGGUCGUGGACAUAUUUGGAGAAUCAGAGAUGGGGAAAAGUUAAAAUAUGGGACGAUGCUUGGGUACCUCACUCUCCAUCUAAAGAGGUAA
rnacentral:rRNA from 1 species